rnacentral:rRNA from 1 species
CCCUUAGAUGUUCUGGGCCGCACGCGCGCUACACUGAUGCAUUCAACGAGUUUUUCCUGGUCCGAGAGGAAUGGGUAACCUUUUGAAAGUGCAUCGUGCUAGGGAUAGACUAUUGCAAUUAUUGGUCUUCAACGAGGAAUUCCUAGUAGACGUAGUUCAUCAGACUGCAUCGAUUACGUCCCUGCCCUUUGUACACACCGCCCGUCGCUCCUACCGAUUGGAUGAUCCGGUGAGCUAUUCGGACCUUCGCUUCGUCGAUUUUCGGCUUUGUGAGGGAAAGUCUCGUGAACCUUAUCAUCUAGAGGAAGGAGAAGUCGUAACA